rnacentral:tRNA from 1 species
GGGCCAGUGGAGGUAAUCGGUAACCUCGUACGGCUUGUCACCCUAAGUUGCAGGUUCGAGUCCCGCCUGGUCCA